CCGAAAAAUAUGGAAGUGGCAUUGUAACAGGAGUAUUAUUUUAUAAACAAUGCAGUAAAUAGAAGAGGAUCACGCAUUCUGUAUAAUCUUCCCAUUGAGAAACUCUCAACGGAAUGCUUAUUUUGAGAGAAAUACCCUUCAUGCUGGAAAUCUACAUUGAGACGACCACACCAUAAAAAAACAAAGUGACACGGAGAGACCUGGAGAAUGAGACACCAGGCAAAAAGAGAGGCCAGAGAGUCUUAAAGAAUCAAAAAUAUGAAAGA
rnacentral:lncRNA from 10 species